CCUACGGGAGGCAGCAGUGGGGAAUAUUGCGCAAUGGGCGAAAGCCUGACGCAGCAACGCCGCGUGGGUGAUGAAGGCCUUCGGGUCGUAAAGCCCUGUCAAGUGGGAAGAAACCUCCCUGUGAGGGGAGCUGACGGUACCACUGGAGGAAGCACCGGCUAACUCCGUGCCAGCAGCCGCGGUAAU
rnacentral:rRNA from 1 species